GCGAGGGUAGCAAAGCGGUCAAAUGCGCAGGACUUAAGAUCCUGUGACUUAGGUCUUCGCAGGUUCAAAUCCUGUCCCUCGCA
rnacentral:tRNA from 1 species